CCGGGUUAGUGUAUACAAUGUUACAAGCAGUAAUUCCACAGAUGGGAACUUCUGGUGUAUUUACAGCCAGUCUCCAGUAUCACUUUCAACCUUCUUCCCUUCCCUCCUACAGAAUGACAAUGCUAGAAAUACUACUUUUCAUCCCUUCAUAUCUCAACCGUCUUAGGAACGAUGUUUCGGCAAAUCUUCGAGGUCAGAUUCCUAAACUACUGAAACUAAUACACCAAAGAUCCACCGGUAUUUUGAUCAUAGGACGAACAGCACACUGGUUCACAGCUAAACUCGUGGGAUGCUGCAGAGGGAACCAAGUUCAACUCAUGGGGUUAUACCUGUUCGUUCAGAGUGUUUCUUUUUCACCUUCUUUCUCCUUCGGAACAAAAAUUAGUUAUCCAUCCAGGCAAAUUGUUGGUCAGUCUAUUUACACCCUUGAAGCCUUGUAUUAUCACCUUCUUUCCAAUCCUGUAGCCGCCUAGACCCCAGCUGCUGCAUAAUGCCACACCCUCAUGACGACCUUCGCCAACUUUUAAUUCCCUUUUGAGGCAGUUUGAACGGGCUCCAGCUUUUCCUGCGCUUCGGGCUGUCAGCGAAGACGCCUGACGCCAGUGCCUGCUGAAGCCACAUCUCGAAUUCAUCGUCGGGGAUCAUCUCUGCGUCCAAGCUGAAGGGAUACCGGGAACUGUAGGAUCUCUGAGGCAUCCUAUCUGCGCCGACCAUGUUUACCAUAAAAGUUGGACCGUGAGUGUUAGG
rnacentral:misc_RNA from 1 species